UACCUUAGUAUGAAGGAGCCUGGCUUUC
rnacentral:piRNA from 1 species